CAGUCGCCACGGUAAUACGGAGGGUGCAAGCGUUAAUCGGAAUUACUGGGCGUAAAGCGCACGCAGGCGGUCUGACAAGUCAGAUGUGAAAUCCCCGGGCUUAACCUGGGAACUGCAUUUGAAACUGUCAGGCUGGAGUCUUGUAGAGGGGGGUGGAAUUCCAGGUGUAGCGGUGAAAUGCGUAGAGAUCUGGAGGAAUACCGGUGGCGAAGGCGGCCCCCUGGACAAAGACUGACGCUCAGGUGCGAAAGCGUGGGGAGCAAACAGGAUUAGAUACCCGAGUAGUCCCUGUCUCUUAUAC
rnacentral:rRNA from 1 species